ACCUAGAGUUGUAAGAGAGGGAGAGAGGGAGUGGAUAGGGGAUGUAAGAAUUGAAUGAUCACCCCAUCUACCAUCCCCUAUUUAUAGCACUAGAUGGGAUGCUAACAGAGAAGACACAGCUCAUCUGGAAAGGUAUAUUAAGUCCUCAUAUCACUUAUCUAAGAGUCCUUAAACAGAAGGACUCUUCAAGGGGUGAUACGUCAAUUCCUGUC
rnacentral:lncRNA from 1 species